rnacentral:lncRNA from 1 species
AAAUAAAACAAGAUAAAAAAAUGAAAAAAAAAAGCUUAACCUCUAAAAAAGUCUUUUAUUUUCUGAUGUUCUUAAAAAAAGAGAACCCCUUACAUGCCACUGAUUUGGGCUUUUAUAGCCGCUUUAUACAACAUUUUGUUUCUUUUUUUUUUUGCCCUAUUUUGCUUUCUAUUGUUGCGUGUUUCCUUCUCUUUGCAGGUAAUUGAUGGGUGGUGGCAGUGAGUAGGUGGAGCAGAGGGCAGACAAUGGGACGUGACAUGCGGCACACAUGGUCCUGGUGUGCAGCGCUGGAGGAGGGACUAGGGUUAGGGUUUCAGUUAUGUUUUACUGAAACUUAGUUAAUGUUUUGGGCCGUCGGACUUUGGGCUUGUAACUUGGGUUUUUUAAUUUGGGCUAGUAUUGCAAUGUGAACUGGACUAUUAUUUGGGUUUUAUUAUUAUUUUUUGUUUUGAUUCUUUGGCCCCGGGCAAAAAUGGGCCUUUACAGCUGCCCCUCUUGUCUCAUUCUCAUGUAACGAGAAUGGAGCAAAGGCUUCAAAAGGGCCAAUUUUGCCCAGUCUCACCGAGUCUUGACUUCUUCUAACGCUUCUCUUCUUCAAGUAGCCUCAUUCCAGUCCACUGUGUCUUUUCGCUUCAAUCCACUCAAUUGCACUUCAGGGAGAUCUAACUUGUAACUUCAAUCUUCUUCGCAGCAACUUCAGGAGGACGAGGUUUUGGUUUUAGUCUGCUCUACUGCAAUGUCAGGGAGAUAAGACUUGUUGCUUCAAUCUGUUCCACUACGACCUCAAGGAGAUAAGGUUUGAUAUGAUAAGAUUUAAUCCGACCCUCUGCGACUUUAAAGGUAUAGGAUUCACCGUUUUAAUCCGCUCCACUGCAACUUCAAGGAGAUAGGACUGGACUCGAUCUGCUCUACUGCAACUUCAGAGAGAUAAGAUUGGUGUCUUCAACCUGUUCUACUGUAACUUUAGGGAGAUAAGGUUUUCAAUUUCAACAUGCCCCACUGCAACCUCGGGAGGAUAAGGUUUGAUAUGAUCUGCUUUACUGCAACUUCAGAGAGAUAAUAUCUGCACUAUAUAGCUUCAAUCUAUUCCACUGCAAUAUCAGGGAAAUAAGAUUCGCUAACUUCAGUCUGCUCUACUGCAACUUCAGGGAGAUAAGACUCGUGGCUUAAAUAUGCUUCCCUACUACUUUGGGAAGAUAAGAUUCGUCGUCUUCGAUCUGCUCCACUACUGCUUAGGGAGACAGAAUCUGCAAUCUUCAGCCUACUCCACUGUUGCUCAGGGAGAUAAGGACGAUGCUUUCGAUCUACUUCACUGCCAGUAUAGGAAGACAAUAUCUACAAUCUUCGACCUACUUCACUACUGCUCAGGGAGAUAAGGCUAGUGGCUCAAAUCUACUUCUUACUAUAUUGGGAAGAUAAGAUUCACAAUCUUCGAUCUGCUCCACUACUGUUUCGGGAUAUAAGAUCUACAAUCUUUAACCUACUCCACUGCUGCUCAGGGAGAUAGGACUGGUGGCUUAAAUUUGUUUCCUACUAUCUCGGGAAGAUAAGAUUCGUAGUCUUCGAUCUGCUCUACUACUGCUUAGGGAGAUAAGAUCUACAAUCUUCAACCUACUCCACUACUGCUCAGGGAGAUAGGACUGGUGGCUUAAAUCUGCUUCCUACUAUCUCGGGAUUAUAAGAUUCGCCAUGUUCGAUCUGCUUCACUACUGUUUAGAGAGACAGGAUCUAUAAUCUCCAACCUACUCCACUACUGCUCAAGGAGAUAGGACUGGUUUCACCAAUCUGUUCUUUGGGGAACAUGACCUGUAAGAUCCCUUUCAUGGGUCUAUUUAUGCCUAGUGAUUAGGAUGUUAUGAUAGGAAUGAAUCAAAAUCUCCUAACUAAAUGUGCAUGCAUGAAUGCAAAAUGUCAUGAAAAUGAUCUUUUCAUGUUUGAGUUGUUAUUGCUCGUUAUUCAUUAAGGCUUUAUUACCAACACGUCCGAACGUCAUCUUGUUUAGUUGGUAACACUCACAUCUUACUUAAUCGGAUUGCCCCCACUGUAAUCUUCAAGGUUCAAUCCACUGUAAUCUUUAAGGUUCAAUCCACUGUAAUUUUGGGACAUAAAAUUUGAACCAUCCUCCUCCCACUGUAAUUUAGGAUUAUAAGAUCUAACUCUUUCUCAAUCCUCUCCCAUUGCAAUUUAGGGAUACAGGAUCUGAAUCUCCUUGGUCUCCUACACAAUUCCCAGGGUGCCAUACCAAAUGUUUAUGCACAAUUGUAAAACCUUCUCUUCUGAGAAACCUCUUCUUAUCAAUCGGUGAUCACUGCUUGUUUGUUCAUUGAAGCUUUAUCACCAACACAACAUCUUGUCAUUUUGUUCAACCAAUGUUUUGACAACAAAAUUCGAAAGGGUAGUCUUAAUUUAAACUUUCCUUCUUAGACAUUUCAACCUUUAAACUUGGUGCGUUCUAAACAAUAGUCCUGUUUCAGGUUCCUGUAUUAUUUAGAAACUUCUAGGGUAAUAUGCAAAACUUCCCUUGUGAAAGUAUUAUUAGUCCAUUAAUCACUAAUCCAAUGCAACAUACUUGAAAAAAGAUCAUAACAAUGGAUAAAAAUGAAAUUGAUUUAGGAGCAUAACUCGAAAUGAAUAAAUUAUCAAGAAUAAAAGAGGAAUUGAUUGGGAACACGUAUCUUGAAAAAGAAAGAAGUAUUCCAAGAACAACAAAUUCAAUAUAAAUAGUAUGAAGAUUAGGUGCCCCAGAUAUCGCAGCUUGAAUUUCUCUGUAAAAACUUUUUGAAAGACCAUUCUGAGUUUGAUAUGUGUUUAGGAGAUCUAUAAGACUUUGUCAAUGCCCCAAGAUGUCGCUUACCCUUUCCUAUUGAUUCAGGUAUAACAAGAUCACCAAAUGCCCUAAUCUAAUCAAAAUUUGAGUUGCUCUGAUCACCUCAUGCCCCAUUUUGAUCCAAAAUUUGAGCCGCUUUGAUCACCUCAUAUCCUAUUUUGGUCAAAAUUUGAGCUGCCCUUUUCAAGUUUUCAACUCAAAUCCCCUUUGGUCUCAAGGCGCCCUUUACGGGUUUUCACAUUGGCUUCUGCUUUUCUUUUUCUUUUCUUUUCUUCUUCUUUCUUUUUUAUUUUUCUUUUUUUUUUUGUUUUUUUAAACAAUUUUUUAUUGAAUCUGAACUCAUAGGAUUAGGCAUGUCCCCGUUAUCCCUUCCGAUCAAGAUUGACGCUUUUCCAAAUAAAGCCUUCCAUAUAAGGUCCUUUCCAGCUUGGCAUAAAGUUCUUUUUGUAUAGGAAGGAUCUUCUUCAAUACCAGGUCUUUCUCUUGGAAUUCUCUAAGGCGAACUUUUUUUGUGAGCUCGCAUCAUUUACUUUUGGCUCAUUUGACCAUGAUGGAUAACUUUCAACAUUCCUCUUCAAUCGGGAUUGGAUCAAAAAACUCAGAGAGAAAUAAUCUUUUCUUCAAUAGGCAAAACCGCGAUAGGCCCAAAAGAACGGCAUUACCACGGCAGAGUUUUUUUUUGUGUUUUACCUCCAAUGCUCUGUUCACUUUGGGACAACAUAGUGUUAUUUUGAAUAGCCUACAAACUUCUGAUAUCGUGCUAUUGUUCCGGUUACAAUGUCGGUGCUUAACCCGGGUAUGACUAUGUGAAGAUAUCUUUGAACUCUUGAAGUAACUCAAUAAGGUCUUACUUCGUUUCUUUGGUUAUGCAUGUUCUAAUUUUUACUAUUUUUCCCUCCUCCAAGGUCACAAUCUCCAUUGUCUCUUCAUGAGGUAAAAUUUGUUUCUCUUCUUGUUUUAUCAUCCACAACAAGUCUGAAAAUAGGCUACAAUCUAUGUCAUCUUCAAAAUCAUGAGAUCCCUCUAAACACAUGUCUCACUCAAAAGGCGGAUAUCUAGCAAGGUCCCUUCUUCAGUUGCUUUUUUCUUUCAUAAAUAACAUUGGUGUGAACAUUUCCCAACUUCUUCAUGUAUUGUAUUCACUAUAUUAUCAAUCAUGAUUGGGUAGCAGAUUUUCUGCACUGGAGGAAUCAUCAAAUUUGAUAACGCCCAUACUGAUAAGCCUUUCAACCACUUUUUUAAAGGUAAUGCAAUUUUCUAUGGAAUGCCCCGUAAUUCCUGCAUGAUAAUCACAUUGCGCAUUUUUUUCGUACCAUUUGGGGUAUGGAGGUUGUAAAGGCUUCAAGUAAAAAGGGGAGACAACAUGUGCGUCAAAUAAACUCUCAUACAACUCUCGAUACGACAUUGGGAUUAGUGCAAAUUGAGACUUUUCAAUGUUUUGCUGUGUGCCAGAUUCUUGUCUUGGAGGGAUCUGAUGGCCAGAAGUAACCAUCCUUGGUUGGCUUGCGGUAAUCAGCUUUGAAUAACCCUCGUUAUACCUACUUGCAUCAUUCACCUCAUUUUUCCUCUUCCUCGAGGCAUUCAAAGUAUUGAUUUGAGGGCUCCACUCUUGCCCUUUCCAUUUGUAACGAUCUACAAAUUGUUUUGAGAGCUCCACUCUCGCCUGUUUUGUUCCCGCUAUAUCAUUAAUGACAACGAGAUUAAUUAGAUUGCCCCUAAGGUUAGAACUUGAGCCUGUCGAGAAAUUCACCGGUGUCGAGGUACUGGUCUGGUAUUGUGGUUGGAUGUUAAGAGUUACCCUUUGUGGAUAUGUAUUUGGUUGUGCUUGGAUGUUUGUUGAGGUAAAGCCUGAAAAAUAAGUAAGGCUUUUAUUAUCAUUUCCAAAAUGGACCGCUGGGUUUUUUCCUUUUUCUAACCCCAUAUCCAAUAACUGGGUUAACUGGCUCAUCAGAUUUCUUUGGACUUCUAGCAUCUGAUCAUUCAUAUCUGGUUAGAAUUUGGUCAAUUGCUAUUGCAUCUGUAUUUUUCUUUGUUCUAAUCUCUCCAACCUUUGGUCCAUUCUUUUAGUUUCUGUUUGGGUAGCGCAAGGGUGUUUGUUUGGUAGGUUGGUUUCCAUUGACUUUGAAAUGAUUUCGUUUGAUUAGGGUAUUUUAGUAAAAUUUGAUGCAUGGAAUGAAAUGUAAUGCAGAUGCAUGAAUGCAAAAAAAAGGCGUUGACUCUGAUUCAAUUCCAUUUAGAAAACUUUACUAAAAAACAAAUUUCUUUACAUAAAACGGAUGCAUGUACGACCUUGCCUUCAUACUCCAAGAAACAAUAUCGAUCCGAAUGAAUCUCACGAAAUGUCACUACUAACUCCUUCUUGCUUGAUCCUGGUCCUGAACCAUAGUCUACCCAUCCUCGUAAUGCUCAUCAGCUCAUUUAAGGAAGUCAGAAUGUCGGAGACCCUCAAAUAGUUAGCUUGAAUCUUCGGGCCACGAAGUAAAGUCAUGUACUCUUUCAUCACCCUUCUUUUGAUGUGUUUCUUGGGAUAUAUUCGGGCAGCCAUAUUAUCUUCCACUUUAUCAAGAAAUUCAUUUUCCAUGACAAGCUUUCUAAUUUAGUAAUCAAAUUUGAAUCAACACCUUUUUUCUAAGAUGAAAAUGCAAUGCAAUUAUAACCAAAACAAAACGAAACGGGUUAGUACAAAGCAAAAGCAAACAAGAAAAAUAGAGUACCUAUUUGGGUAACUACUAAGGGUUUGAAGUGGCUCUACCUAGGGUGGGCUCCUAAGGUCUUCUACAUGUAGUUUGGUUCUAAAGUAAAGGUACCCGAACCAGCAGAUUCCUCGAUCCUCACCUAUUAUAGGCUCAUACGGACCAAGUUCAGUUUAGAGGAAUAUAUUUCCCUAUGGCUGCACGGAGAUAAAAAUCUCACGAAGACAUACGGAUGUAUCCCGAAAGUAAUCUGCUAUCUUGCACGGAGGUGAAGACCUCACGAAGGAAAUAACUUCUCACUCCCACUAAAAAGGAAAUAAUAAAGCGGUUAUGUAAUGCAAUAUGCAGAAACAUAUCAAAAAUAUUCAAACCAAUAGAGUAAUUACAAACCGAAGUAAUAAUCGUAACAAAAUGGAUGAAAUACAACAAAAUGAUCGUAAAUUUAAACCAAGUUUUCAGGUGACCUCUAGGUAUUUGGUGUGGUUCUACCUAGUGUAGGCUCUUAAGGCUCAUUAUAUGCGGUUCGGUUCUAAAGUAAGGGUACUUGAACCAGCAGAUUCCUCGAUCCUCACCCAUUAUAGGCUCAUACGGACUGAGUUCAGUUCAGGGGAAUACAUUUCCCUAUGGCCAUGCGGAGAUGAAAAACUCACGAAGACAUAGGUACGGAUGUAUCCCGGAAGCGAUUCACUAUCCUAUGCGGAGGUGAAAACCUCACGAAGGCGUAGCUUCUCACUCCCACUUAAAAGUUGUGACCCACGGCUAUGCAAUGCAAUAUGUGAAGAUAUAAAAAAUUUAAAAUAUCAGACAUGAUGAAAACUCAAACUCAAAAAUAGAUAAAAUGUAAUGAAAGGAUCAUAUAUUAAAAAUCAAAAUUUCAACUUUCAACAAAAAGACAAAAGUUAAUCAAUUUAUGGUUUGACUCUUUUAUAGUCCCCAGUAGAGUCGCCAAGCUGUUGACACCAUUUUUUUUGAUAAAACGGGAUCGAGUUGGAUUUUGAAAAUGAAAACGAAUAUGGGAGUCACCACCAAUCCUUUUUGAUGAGGUGUGAUCGGGUCACCUUAGAAAAUGACUUAUUUUUAAUAAAUAGUUUGAUUUAUUAAAAUAACGCUUUUUGGUCUACGAAAUUCAAAAAAAUAGGUUCGGGAGUCGGUUACAUACAAGGAAGGAUUAGCACCCUUGUAACGCCCAAAAUUGAUACCUAGUUGAUUAAUUAGUGUCUUAGUGUCGAGAAUUGAAAACUUUGAAGAGAUUUGAAAUACGAUCCUUAUAUUUAAAAAAAAUUGUAUAAAUCAAAUUACAUGUUAAGACCCUCUCAUUUCGGAGAGAGAAAAUGUCACACCUAAUGAGUUAGGGCAUGAUAUUUCUCAUCCUCAAAAAUGGAUGUCAUUAAAAAAACUCAUACAAUAAAAUUCAAAAGGAUAUUCAAUUGUUUAAGUAAAGUGAAGAAAUCGUAGUCCAAUACGUUAGGGCACAAUUUCUCAAAAUUCUAAACAUUGAAUAUUGCCUUUAUUUAUUUUUUAAAAAAAAUCCUCACCUCGAGAAAAUAACGUGUCAUAUCCAAUGCAUUAGGACACAACGUAUUGAAUUCCCGAUAAUGAGAUUUUUAUUUAUGUUUUUUGAUUAAAAAGUAUUCUUGAUUAUUUAGAUUCAACGAAGAAAAUUGGAACCCAAUACGUUAGGGCUCAAUCCUCUCGAAGAUCUCAAAUACCGAGUAUUGCCUUUAUUUUCAAAAUUUUCUCUUUUUACGAAUUUGAGUAAAAAUAGGUGUAAUGGAAUAACAAUGAUGCUAAUGUAGGUAAAAUAACACGAGCAAAAACAAAAGAUAAAUAAAUGAUAAGACCAAUAUAUAAAAAACAAUCACGUAGGCACAAUAACAAAUAACAACAGAUAAAAACUAAAACAUAAAAAAUAAUAAUAACGGACAUGUAAAUAAAUAAAUAAAUGAACAAAAUUAUAAAAAAAUAUAAAAGACAUAUAUAUGUAUAAAAUUAUGGAAAUAUGAAAAACAUGUGUAUGUACACAUAUUCUAAAACUAUUAUACAUGAAAUAUGUGUAUGUAUGUACGUACAUAUAUACGUAAAUAACAAUCAUAAAAUAUAAAAAGUAUAUAUGUGGGUAUAUAUAGGAAUCAUAAAAUAUAAAGAAUAUAUACAAAAUAAAUAUAUUUUAGAAGUAUAAAGGAUAUGUAAAUAUAUAUGUAUGUAUUUAAAGUUAUGAAAUGUAAGAAAUAUAAAGGUAUGCAUCCAUAUAUAUAUGUGUUUAUAAAAAUCAAAACCUAUAUAGAUAUGUAUUUAUUAUGUAUAUAUAUAUAUAUUGUAGAAUAUAUAAAUAUAUAUAUGAAAUAUAAAAUAUAUACAUAAGAAAAAUAUGGAUUGUAAAAAGAAUAUGUAUAAGUACAUGUAUAUAUAUAAGUAAAGUAUGAAAAUAUGUGUAUAUAUGUACAUAAAUUAAAAUGUGUAUAUGUAUAUAUAAAGUAUAAAGUAUAUAUAAAAAAAGUAGGUAUAUAUCAAGGAUGUAUAUUUAUAUAUAUGAUUAAAUCUAAAAUUAGAUGGUAUAAAUGAAUAAGUAAUAAUAAUAAUAAUAAUAAUAGUAAAAGAACAAAAUAAAAAAAAUUAGGGGAUAGAUUUUAAAAUGACAUAAAAAGAUAAUAAAGGACUAAAGUGAAACGUGCGUCAAGAAUGAGGGACUCAUCGCGCAAUAUCCCCAUUCUUUAUACGCAUCAUUUUGCAAGACUAGAACAGAAUAGACGCGAAAAAAUAGGGUUAAAUUGAAAAUACUAAAAAAAAGGGAAAAUGACCAAAUUGAAGCCAAUCAUAAAAUCGGAGGGAUCCGCAGCGCAAAUAACCCAUUCGAUCUUGAAACGCGCGGAUCCUCUGCUAAACGGGUCGGGUCGCGGGUCGGCCUCCCCAAAACGACGUCGUUUUGCAUCUGGGGAGGCCACCCAAAACACUGCUGUUUCGAUUUUCUAUUUAAGGCCCCUUUCUUUAUUUUUUUUUAUUCAUUCCUUCCUCAUUAAAAAAAAACUGCAGAACUCUCUCAUGCUCUCCAUGCCUUCCGACGAUCGGGCCUCUCACCGCCGAUCGCCCGUCCGCUGCAUCGCCACCAAAUCGACGGCCGACGAAGCAUGAGGAAGGGUUUUUAAAGCCCGGUUCCAGGUGGGCUGUGGGGUCGGGCUUUCGAGCCCCACAAGGACCGAAACAGAGGCCCAGACCCUACCUCUCGGAAUUCGGUCUCGACGACGGAGAUCCGCCCUCCGAAGGCGGUCACGGGGCGUCCGGUAAGUCUCUUCCUCUCUUUUUAUCUCAUUAUUUAAUAUAAAAAAAUCGAAAAUAAAAUAAAUAAAAUAAAAUAAAACAAGAUAAAAAACGGAAAAAAAAAAAGCUGAACCUCUAAAAAAGUCUUUUAUUUUCUGAUGUUCUUAAAAAAAGGGAACCCUUUACAUGCCACUGAUUUGGGCUUUUAUAUCCGCUUUAUACAACAUUUUGUUUCUUUUUUUUUGCCCUAUUUUGCUUUCUAUUGUUGCGUGUUUCCUUCUCUUUGCAGGUAAUUGAUGGGUGGUGGCAGUGAGUAGGUGGAGCAGAGGGCAGACGAUGGGACGUGACAUGCGGCGCACAUGGUCCUGGCGUGCGGCGUUGGAGGAGGGACUAGGGUUAGGAUUUCAGUUGUGUUUUACUGAAACUUAGUUAAUGUUUUGGGUCGUCGGGCUUUGGGCUUGUAACUUGGGUUUUUUAAUUUGGGCUAGUAUUGUAAUGUGAACUGGACUAUUAUUUGGGUUUUAUUAUUAUUAUUUGUUUUGAUUCUUUGGCCCCGGGCAAAAAUGGGUCUUUACAGGAACCUUUUCUCUGUUUCUCAUUACUACUUAUGGGGUUAGGAUUUUAAAACAAAUUUAAUGGGCUUCGCUACUCACACAUCCUAUUUAGUUUUAUAUUUUAACAUUUAUAUUCAUUUUUAAUUCUAAUUAUUAUUAUUGUUAAAAUUCUUCAAUUAAAUUUAUUGAUGUGAAAUUUUAAAAUUAUAAAAAUUUACUUCGCAA